CAGUAACAAAGAACGUAAAACAUUUUAACUCUUCUGUCAUUCGUUUUGAACUGUCGAUAUAUAUUUCGAUUGCAUUUCGUUAAUGAAAAACAGCGACACCCGUGAUACAAGCGACGAAAUUAAAAUUUGCUCGCGUGAGCAGAGAAACGACGUUAGCAAAGAAUUAGAAGUGUCAAAGUCGUCAUGAUAAUAAAUCAGGAAGACGAAAACAUUUGGCGCCCCGGGUAGCUGCGCCAAUGGGUUGGCAAGUACCCCCUUGCUCUCCCUGUACGGAAAGUCUCUACCCACCAUGCCACGCUAUGCCGUGCUGUGCUGCGCUGUGCUACGGUUUGCCGUGCCAUCCUUAACCGCGUAGCGUGGCUAGUUGUUUCUUUUCUUUAUUCCUUUGUCGGAAAGUCGGUGGCGAGUCUCGUUUUUAAGAGAAGAGUAGAGGGGAGGAGGCAAAAGGAAAACGACAACCGCUCAGCAGGGGCUGAGGAAGGAAUGGUUGGACCUGGGUUAGAGGGAGGGAGGACCACGCAGCAAGGAGAAUAAAACUGAACUGUCUUCCUAUCGUCUGGAAAGAGAGAAAGAGAGAGAGAAAGAGAGAGAGACGAUUGCUCCUUUGCGAACGCGACACCAGCCAGCUUUUGCAUGGUCUCGUGCCCAUUCGAAUCUGUCGUUCGGCCUAGCGUCCGUUUUGGUUUACGUUAUUAUGUAAUGUUAUGUGCGAAUAGCCGCGUGUACUUACAUACAUGCCACGCUGGGUAAAAUGCUGUUGCAUCGCUAUUAAAGAAAAUUGCCCACUCGCGGCGGUGAAUAGGAAACGUCAUGCAUUCUUCGACACGGUCAUCGACGUAUUGAACUGCCCGUUCGAUCCGAGAACAUAAAUUCUGUUACACAUCACUCCAUCGGGAGUUGCUAGUAGUAAAGAGAAUAGGAUAGCGAGAAAAGUGGGAUAUUUCGUCAAAGUGCUUUUCUGUAAGGUGUGAAAUAUAAACAGGGAAUCCAGGCAACUUUAGAUGCUGUUCUAGCGAUUAUUCGAGAUAAAGAGCUUCACUUUGAGAGAGUCCGACAAAACUGCCAUUUGAACUUUAAAAUCGUUUCGGAAACGAUCAAUUCAUCUCUCUCCGACUAUCCGAAGAAAAACAGGAAGGGAGAAGAUGAAGAAGAGAAAGGAAGGAAUAAAAGAGGGAGGAGGGUCCACGACCGGAUCUUAUAAUUACGCUAAUUAGGCAGUAACGCGUAAAAAAAGCGGCGCGAGUAUUUAUCGCAAGGUAUCGUGGAAGGUAUACGGAGGUCGGCAAAGGAGGACGUCGUACGACAGAAUACGACAGGAAAGGCUAUAAUACAGUUUUGCCGCGAGCAUCAGAAGCAACAGCAGCAGUCACGGCGGUAAGCAAGCAAGCAGCAACGCCGGUGUCGAGAAACACAGGCAACUCUGACAUCGGUUUCGUUGCAUGUUCCUCGUGUCUGACAGAUGUCUAAUUUGAAAGAGAUCCAAAUGUAGGAAUGCGUUCUUAAAAGCUUAAACCAAAGACUUUGUAACAAUAAACGUGUUUCAUCGCACGUAUUGAAAUAACUGAAGAUUGAAGCAAAAUUGAUGAUAAGUAUAUUAACUAAGAAGAAUCAUUUGCUUUUAACGCUAAAUCUAUCGUACGCUUGAAGAUAAAUUUUGAACAUGUGUUUGUAUUUGCGAACAAUUAAAUGUUCAUGCAACUGUAAAUGUAACUAUAUAAAUAAUUGUUUUUAUGAAGCCAGAUAUCUAGCGGGGCCAAAAUGAUCGAUUUUAAGUUCCUAAGUAAGCAGGCCACACUGUGCAAAUUUAAACAUUGAAAUACAAAAGUAAGCACAAUGAUGAAUAAAAUUGAAAUGAGAGAUAAAAAGAAAGUAUCAAUUGAACGCAACGUUGACUUCAGAUUACUAAAUUAGUCAUACUACUCGUAUGUGAAGAAUCUAUAACAACGUACGUACAUAUGUACAUAUAUAUCAUUUCGUUCAAUUUUAUAUAUGCCCCGACUGACUGAGCAUCUUCUAGGAUUUAGAACAUCACUCUCCUUCGUGAAAAUUAGCCAGUAGUACUACAUGCUAUGGGUAUAUAAGACGCGGCAACGCGUUCCUAGUCAGAACAAGGGAUGGUGGUAGUUCAUUCAAGCGGAACUGUUAUCGUUGGUUUCCCGUCCUAUUUUUCCGCGAAUGUGUAAUCAGCGACCAACAAACCCGGACUGAACGUGUGUGGUUGCUACCCGUCAGAGAUUUUUCUCUCAUCAGGCCAGAACAGCCCGGGACUGAGCGUUUAUGGGUACCUUUACUGGAUGGAUUCGUCGGAAGGGGAGGAUCGUGGAAUAGGGGGGUUGGAUAGCGACGGUAGGAGCGACGCGAGGGGGAAGGAGAGCGAGAGAGAGGAAAGAGAGAGCCUCGGUUGGAUUACGGGCCGGUCGUGCCGAGGCGGGCGUGGGGAAAAGGAGGAAGCGGUCGGCGCGUUUGAUCUCAGCCGCGGGCGCCGACAAAGCGUUCAUCCACUCUCCUACAACGGCGUGCUGUCUCGCGAGCAGGAGCGCGACAAUGCUUGCCAAGCAAAGCACGAGAGUGAGACAAUGGAUAAAGCAAGCCAGCCGGUAAGGUAGCAUAAUACAGAGUAAGAAGGAAGAGAAGCGGAAAGAGAAAGCUUGAGCAACGCCGGACGAAUGGUGCGCCAUGGCGUGAUGGGGGAAGGGAGAAAAACACAGAGAGACCGAGGAACACAUGGAGGGACCGAGAGAAAGAGCCCUUCGGUCGGACAGAGAGGCUACAAAUGAAAAAAGAGGAACCAAGACUAACUAAGAGAAAAGACGAAGAACGGGAGAGUAACCGCGGACGAGAGAGAAGGAGACCGAUAGGAAACAGAGAUGAUUCGUAGGAGAAAGAGAAAGAGUUGAAGGAAGGGAGGGAGGUUGGAAACGUCCCGAGGAAGGGGGAAAAGAUCCGAAGAUCCGUUCCACGAUCUGGUGCUGUCGCGCUCGCUUUAGCAUGGCACUGCCACUCCCUUGCGCUGGCUACGCCAGCUUUGCUAUUAAUAAAUAAUGCUCCGUGAUCCGCAUUACAACUAAAGCGAUUCGUUCCGCUCUUGCCUCUUUAUUCCCCGAUAUUUCCGAACGCUUGGACAUCCGCAAAGUCCUCUGUCCCUUCCGUAUCGCAUCGAAUCGACGAUCCUUUUUAGCGAGUCCGAGCUGAAUGAACCCUGGCCUGCCUCUGUUCUGGUCCGACGAAGCUCGAUACGACUUUGAGGAACCUUAUGCCUUCUUCUCGGUCGAGUUACAAGAGACGCGCAGGAGAGGUUCUAAUUUAGAGUAUUAGAGAAGUAACGAUGUGCGAGCCAUGGCGAACAUGGUUCACAGAAACACGAACGCGUCCAUUUGAUAGAUCACGAAACUAGGCUGUUUGCAUUAUUUCACAUUUAUGAUCCACACGCAAUGAUGAUGACGGCCAUCAAGAGACAAUGUAUUAAAUUUAAUGCGAAUAAAACAAUUUUCAGAUAA